rnacentral:rRNA from 1 species
AGCAGCCGCGGUAAUUCCAGCUCCAAUAGCGUAUAUUAAAGUUGUUGCGGUUAAAAAGCUCGUAGUUGAAUCUGUGUCGCACACCGUCGGUUCACCGCUCGCGGUGUCUAACUGGCGUGAUGUGGGACGUCCUACCGGUGGGCUUAGCUCCGCGAGGGGCGGCCCAACUAAUAUCCCGUCGCGGUGCUCUUUACUGAGUGUCGAGUCGGGCCGGUACGUUUACUUUGAACAAAUUAGAGUGCUUAAAGCAGGCUACCUUCGCCUGAAUACUGUGUGCA